rnacentral:rRNA from 1 species
UACGUAGGGUGCAAGCGUUGUCCGGAAUUAUUGGGCGUAAAGAGCUCGUAGGCGGCUUGUCACGUCGGCUGUGAAAACCCGGGGCUCAACCCCGGGUCUGCAGUCGAUACGGGCAGGCUAGAGUGUGGUAGGGGAGAUCGGAAUUCCUGGUGUAGCGGUGAAAUGCGCAGAUAUCAGGAGGAACACCGGUGGCGAAGGCGGAUCUCUGGGCCAUUACUGACGCUGAGGAGCGAAAGCGUGGGGAGCGAACAGG